GUAUUGUAUUGCGUUAAACGCGACAAACAUUCCAUGAGACUUUAUAACUGUGUGUGUGUGUAAAGAAGUAGAACCACAGUGGGAAGACGGGGUCCCCCACACCACAGAACUACCAAGGGUGCACAGGUGUGAAUGGGUGUGUAAACAGAGUGUGCACAUGCCCCCAUUUGAGGACCAGCAACAACUCGUGUCGACAGUUCAGUAAUGAUCCUUCCGCAGGUUCACCUACGGAAA
rnacentral:misc_RNA from 1 species